ensembl:rRNA 5S_rRNA 5S ribosomal RNA
GUCUAUGGACAUACCACCCUGAACUCGCUCAAUCUAGUCUCUUCGUGGAAGCAAAGCAGGGUCCAGCCUGGUUAGUACUUGCAAAGGAGACCACCUGGGAAUACCGGGUGCUGUAGGUU